CCUACGGGAGGCAGCAGUCGAGAAUCAUUCACAAUGGGGGAAACCCUGAUGGUGCGACGCCGCGUGGGGGAAUGAAGGUCUUCGGAUUGUAAACCCCUGUCAUGUGGGAGCAAAUUAAAAAGAUAGUACCACAAGAGGAAGAGACGGCUAACUCUGUGCCAGCAGCCGCGGUAAUACAGAGGUCUCAAGCGUUGUUCGGAAUCACUGGGCGUAAGGCGUGCGUAGGCUGUUUCGUAAGUCGUGUGUGAAAGGCGCGGGCUCAACCCGCGGACGGCACAUGAUACUGCGAGACUAGAGUAAUGGAGGGGGAACCGGAAUUCUCGGUGUAGCAGGGAAAUGCGUAGAUAUCGGGAGGAACACUCGUGGCGAAGGCGGGUUCCUGGACAUUAACUGACGCUGAGGCACGAAGGCCAGGGGAGCGAAAGGGAUUAGAUACCCCUGUAGUC
rnacentral:rRNA from 1 species